rnacentral:lncRNA from 10 species
CUCUGAUUUAAUUGUCCCAUCUUCAAGGGCUAUAAAUACAUUCUCAGAAUUCUGACUUCUAUGUAAAAUCUUAAUCUCUCCCACUCUAGGUUCCCACGCCACCCCUAAUCCUGCUGGAAGCAGCCCUGAGAAACAUCGUUCAUUAUCUCUCCAUACCACUCCCAAAAAAUUUUCGCCGCCCCAACACUUUACCACUAUUUUGUUGUAUUUUUCUUAAUAAUACAAGAAGACAGG